rnacentral:misc_RNA from 1 species
GAUGAAGAACGUAGCGAAAUGCGAUAAGUAAUGUGAAUUGCAGAAUUCAGUGAACCAUCGAAUCUUUGAACGCACAUUGCGCCCGCCAGUAUUCUGGCGGGCAUGCCUGUCCGAGCGUCAUCUCAACCCUCGAGCCCCCCCGGGGGCUCGGCGUUGGGGACCGGCCCCGCCCCAGGGCGCGCCGCCCCCCAAAUCCAGUGGCGGUCCCGCCGCAGCCUCCCCUGCGCAGUAGCUUGCACACUCGCACCGGAGAGCGGCGCGGUCCACUGCCGUAAAACCCCCCAACUUUUUAUAGUUGACCUCGAAUCAGGUAGGACUACCCGCUGAACUUAAGCAUAUCAAUAAGCGGAGGA